GCAUUGGUGGUUCAGUGGUAGAAUUCUCGCCUUCUGUGUUGGAGACCCGAGAUCAAUUCUCAGCCAGUGCG
rnacentral:tRNA from 1 species